rnacentral:misc_RNA from 1 species
UCAAUUCUCUCUAAUCUCAACAUUUACCUUUAAAUUCCAAUUACUAGAAUGUUCUCACCAUGUCCUAUAUAUUGCUUGGACUUGGUACAGGCGUUAGACAAAUACCCAAAUCAAGGUAUGGUCAAAUUUAUAUAUUCUUUCUCAUAGUCGGAACAUCAUGGCCAAAUAACCGGGUGUGUUCUAGGUGUAUGAGAUGUGUUUGACAUGUGUGUUAAGAGUAAAAUAAAGAGUUGGAGUAACAGAGACCAUACCGUUAGCAUUAUCUUUGAAGAGUGAAAUGGAAGAUUAGAAAACCAUAAAACAACAUAGUUCAUAAUUAAAUUGUAAUAGAAGAUGCCCUUGUUGAAAAAUGGUACUUGUCCUCUAGAACAGAAGGGGAGGGGGUG